rnacentral:rRNA from 1 species
GACGAACGCUGGCGGCGUGCUUAACACAUGCAAGUGGAGCGACGAACCGGGGCUUGCCCCGGGGCAGAGCCGCGAACGGGUGAGUAACACGUGGGUCACCUGCCUCGAUGACCGGGACAACCCGAGGAAACUCGGGCUAAUACCGGAUGUGCUCUUCGGAGGAAAGGUAGCUUCGGCUUCCGCAUCGAGAUGGGCCCGCGGCGCAUUAGCUUGUUGGUGGGGUAACGGCCUACCAAGGCGACGAUGCGUAGCUGGUCUGAGAGGACGAUCAGCCACACUGGGACUGAGACACGGCCCAGACUCCUACGGGAGGCAGCAGUGGGGAAUCUUGCGCAAUGCGCGAAAGCGUGACGCAGCAACGCCGCGUGGGGGAAGAAGGCCUUCGGGUUGUAAACCUCUUUCAGUUGGGACGAAGCUUCUGCGGUGAAUAGCCGUAUGGAGUGACGGUACCUUCACAAGAAGCCCCGGCUAACUACGUGCCAGCCGCCGCAGUAACAC